rnacentral:rRNA from 1 species
UUGAGAGUUUGAUCCUGGCUCAGGAUGAACGCUGGCGACGUGGAUAAGGCAUGCAAGUCGAGAGGUGCAAGACCUCGGCAAACGGGUUAGUAACACGUAGGAACGUACCCUCAAGUCGUGGAUACCCUGGAGAAAUCCAGAAUAAUACACGAUAAGCUCUAUGGAGUAAAGAUUUAUCGCUUGAGGAGCGGCCUGCGUCCUAUCAGCUAGUUGGUGGGGUAAAAGCCUACCAAGGCAAUGACGGGUAGGGGGUGUGAGAGCACGAUCCCCAACAUUGGAACUGAGACACUGUCCAAACACCUACGGGUGGCUGCAGUCGAGAAUAUUCGUCAAUGGGCGAAAGCCUGAACGAGCGACGUCGCGUGUGGGAUGAAGGCCCUUGGGUCGUAAACCACUUUUUUCAGGGAGAAACUUACGUGAUAGUACCUGAAGAAUAAGAGGUUACUAACUCUGUGCCAGCAGUAGCGGUAAUACAGAGACCUCAAGCGUUAUCCGGAUUCAUUGGGCGUAAAGCGCAGGUAGGUGGAUAUGUUAGUCAGGUGUCAAAGCCUCCGACCCAAUCGGAGAACUGCACUUGAAACGGCAUGUCUAGAGGGAGUGAGGGACCAGUGGAACUCAUGGUGUAGCAGUGAAAUGCGUUGAUAUCAUGAGGAACACCAAAGGCGAAAGCAUCUGGUUGGCAUUCUCCUGACACUGAGCUGCGAAAGCGUGGGUAGCGAAUGGGAUUAGAUACCCCAGUAGUCCACGCCCUAAACGAUGCAUACUAGGCAUGGGAGGAAUCGACCCCCCUCGUGUCGUAGCUAACGCGUUAAGUAUGCCGCCUGGGAAGUACGGCCGCAAGGCUAAAACUCAAAGGAAUAGACGGGGAUCCGCACAAGCGGUGGAUCAUGUGGUUUAAUUCGACGGUAAGCGAGAAACCUCACCAGGACUUGAAAUCCAGCUGCAUACUCUAGAAAUAGAGUCGCCUUCGAGGGUGCUGGACAGGCGCUGCAUGGUUGUCGUCAGCUCGUGUCGUAAGAUGUUCCGUUAAGUCGGGAAACGAGCGCAACCCCUUUCGUGUGUUAUAUAUGUCACACGAUACUGCCCCGCACUGAGAACGUGAAACGCAUAACGCGUAACGUGAAACGAAAUUGAAAAACGUUUUACGCUCUACGCUAUGUGAUUCGCGAGUUCAGUGUGGGGAGGAAGGAGGGGAUGACGUCAAAUCAGCAUGGCCCUCUGACGUCCUGGGCAACACACGUGAUACAAUGGCUGGAACAAAGGGUUGCCAAACCGCGAGGUGGAGCCAAUCCCAAAAAUCCAGUCUCAGUUCGGAUUGGAGUCUGCAACUCGACUCCAUGAAGCCGGAAUCGCUAGUAAUCGUGAAUCAGCACGUCACGGUGAAUACGUUCUCGGAUCUUGUACUCACCGCCCGUCACACCAAGAGAGUCGGUAAUACCUGAAGGUCCCGUGUUAAAGCGGGGACUACGGUAGGAUCGAUGAUAAGGGUGAAGUCGUAACAAGGCAUCCGUAGCGGAAGCUGUGGAUGGAUCACCUCCUUUCUAG